rnacentral:rRNA from 1 species
GACGAACGCUGGCGGCGUGCUUAACACAUGCAAGUCGAACGGAAAGACCCUGCUUUUGUGGGGUGCUCGAGUGGCGAACGGGUGAGUAACACGUGAGUAACCUGCCCUUGACUGUGGGAUAACUUCAGGAAACUGGGGCUAAUACCGGAUAGGAGCUCCUGCUGCAUGGUGGGGGUUGGAAAGUUUCGGCGGUUGGGGAUGGACUGGCGGCUUAUCAGCUUGUUGGUGGGGUAGUGGCUUACCAAGGCUUUGACGGGUAGCCGGCGUGAGAGGUUGACCGGCCACAUUGGGACUGAGAUACGGCCCAGACUCCUACGGGAGGCAGCAGUGGGGAAUAUUGCACAAUGGGCGGAAGCCUGAUGCAGCAACGCCGCGUGCGGGAUGACGGCCUUCGGGUUGUAAACCGCUUUCGCCUGUGACGAAGCGUGAGUGACGGUAAUGGGUAAAGAAGCACCGGCUAACUACGUG